rnacentral:rRNA from 1 species
AUUGAACGCUGGCGGCAGGCCUAACACAUGCAAGUCGAGCGAGCGGCGGACGGGUGAGUAAUGUAUGGGGACUGCCCGAUAGAGGGGGAUAACUACUGGAAACGGUAGCUAAUACCGGAUACUAUCGGAUCAGCAAUAUGGGAUUUGCUAGUGGGUGAGGUAAUGGCUCACCUAGGCGACGAUCCCUAGCUGUUCUGAGAGGAUGAUCAGCCACACUGUGACGGAGAACCGGCACAGACUCCUACGGAGGCAACAGUGGGGAAUAUUGCACAAGGGGCGCAAGCCUGAUGCAGACAUGCCGCGUGUAUGAAGAAGGCCCUAGGGUUGUAAAGUACGUUUGGCAGAGAAGCGGUAUCUGCAGAAUAAGCACCGGCUAACUACGUGCCAGCAGCCGCGGUAAUAC